UACGAAGGGAGCUAGCGUUGUUCGGAAUCACUGGGCGUAAAGCGCACGUAGGUGGAUAGUUAAGUCAGGGGUGAAAGCCCGAGGCUCAACCUCGGAAUUGCCUCUGAUACUGGCUGUCUCGAGUCCGAGAGAGGUGGGUGGAAUUCCUAGUGUAGAGGUGAAAUUCGUAGAUAUUAGGAAGAACACCGGUGGCGAAGGCGGCCCACUGGCUCGGUACUGACACUGAGGUGCGAAAGCGUGGGGAGCAAACAGG
rnacentral:rRNA from 1 species